rnacentral:lncRNA from 1 species
UGCGAGUAUUUCAUCUUUUCUUUCCUCUUCUUUUCUCCCGUCCUUCUUCUUUUUCUCUUCUUUUUUCUUUCUCUUUUUUUUUCUUUUUUUUUUGCGUGUCACUUUUUCCUUUUUCACCCCAUCACCAAUUUUUGAUUGAUUUUUUUUUUUUAGGAAUGGAUGCCAAAGCAGCACGGAUGCUCACCAAGGGCCUCAAGGCCCACAAAAGAAAAGGCAUCGCGGCCUCCGGAUC